UACGGGGGGGGCAAGCGUUGUUCGGAAUUACUGGGCGUAAAGGGCUCGUAGGCGGCCAACUAAGUCAUACGUGAAAUCCCUCGGCUUAACCGGGGAACUGCGUCUGAUACUGGAUGGCUUGAGUUCGGGAGAGGGAUGCGGAAUUCCAGGUGUAGCGGUGAAAUGCGUAGAUAUCUGGAGGAACACCGGUGGCGAAGGCGGCAUCCUGGACCGACACUGACGCUGAUGAGCGAAAGCCAGGGGAGCAAACGGG
rnacentral:rRNA from 1 species